AUUGAACGCUGGCGGCAUGCCUUACACAUGCAAGUCGAACGGCAGCACGGGAGCAAUCCUGGUGGCGAGUGGCGAACGGGUGAGUAAUAUAUCGGAACGUGCCCAGUAGUGGGGGGAUAGCCCGGCGAAAGCCGGAUUAAUACCGCAUACGACCUGAGGGUGAAAGCGGGGGAUCGCAAGACCUCGCGCUAUUGGAGCGGCCGAUAUCAGAUUAGCUAGUUGGUGGGGUAAAGGCCUACCAAGGCUACGAUCUGUAGUUGGUCUGAGAGGACGACCAGCCACACUGGGACUGAGACACGGCCCAGACUCCUACGGGAGGCAGCAGUGGGGAAUUUUGGACAAUGGGCGCAAGCCUGAUCCAGCAAUGCCGCGUGCAGGAAGAAGGCCUC
rnacentral:rRNA from 1 species